GACGAACGCUGGCGGCGUGCUUAACACAUGCAAGUCGAACGGUAAGGCCCUUCGGGGUACACGAGUGGCGAACGGGUGAGUAACACGUGGGUGAUCUGCCCUGCACUUCGGGAUAAGCCUGGGAAACUGGGUCUAAUACCGGAUAGGACUCCGGACUGCAUGGUCUGGGGUGGAAAGCUUUUGCAGUGUGGGAUGGGCCCGCGGCCUAUCAGCUUGUUGGUGGGGUGAUGGCCUACCAAGGCGACGACGGGUAGCCGGCCGGAGAGGGUGACCGGCCACACUGGGACGGAGAUACGGCCCAGACUCCUACGCGAGGCAGCAGUGGGGAAUAUUGCACAAUGGGCGCAAGCCUGAUGCAGCGACGCCGCGUGAGGGAUGACGGCCUUCGGGUUGUAAACCUCUUUCAGCACCGACGAAGCGCAAGUGACGGUAGGUGCAGAAGAAGGACCGGCCAACUACGUGCCAGCAGCCGCAGUAA
rnacentral:rRNA from 1 species